UACAGAGGUCUCAAGCGUUGUUCGGAUUCAUUGGGCGUAAAGGGUGUGUAGGUGGCGCCGUAAGUCGGGUGUGAAAUUUCGGAGCUUAACUCCGAAACUGCAUUCGAUACUGCGGUGCUUGAGGACUGGAGAGGAGACUGGAAUUCAUGGUGUAGCAGUGAAAUGCGUAGAGAUCAUGAGGAAGACCAGUGGCGAAGGCGGGUCUCUGGACAGUUCCUGACGCUGAGGCACGAAGGUCAGGGGAGCAAACGGGG
rnacentral:rRNA from 1 species